rnacentral:rRNA from 1 species
AUGAGUCAGGAGACGGUCAACCCCAAGGCCUACCCGCUGGCGGACUCGCAGCUGACGAUAACGAUCCUCGACCUCGUCCAGCAGGCCGCCAACUACAAGCAGCUCAAGAAGGGCGCCAACGAAGCGACCAAGACUCUCAACAGGGGAAUAUCGGAGUUCGUGGUGAUGGCAGCUGACACGGAGCCGCUCGAAAUCCUCCUCCACCUCCCGUUGCUUGCGGAGGACAAGAAUGUGCCAUAUGUCUUUGUCCCUUCAAAGCAAGCCCUUGGGCGUGCUUGUGGAGUUACCAGGCCGGUCAUUGCUUGUUCAGUGACCAGCAACGAGGGUAGCCAGCUGAAACAGCCCAUUCAGAGUCUUAAGGAUGCUAUCGAGAAGCUUCUCAUAUGA